rnacentral:rRNA from 1 species
AUGGAGGCCUACUCCAGGGACCUGAUGCGCGGCAUCGACAGUGGAGACGACGGCGAGCACAGGGUGCAGCGGUUGGAUUCGCGGACGGAGGAGCCCGCGGCACAAGGAACUCCUAGCGCUCAAGGGCAGAGCAUGUCGUCAGCUGUUGUGUCCUCGUCUCAGGGUACAAAUGGUGUGCACCAGGCAGAGGAUGCUAACAACACCGUCAUGGCAACCGCUUCUUCUCCAGGACCAGCGGUAAGAGCGGCAACCCUUGGUUCCGGGGGAGGGCAGCAAGAAGAUUCAGAGAUGUCGAAGGUGCGGGAGAUUCCAUUGGUGUCGACCAGCGGGCUCCCCAAUGGCAGGAGGAUUGUAGGCUUGUUGUACGAGUACAGUAAAGUUGAUGAGGUGAUGAUUUUGUGUAUGUGCCAUGGUAGCUUCCUAACUCCGGCGGAGUUUGUGGAGCAUGCUGGAGGAGGUCAAGUCGCCAACCCACUGAGGAGGAUCUUCGUCAUGCCCCCGCCUUGGCUUUGA